ensembl:lncRNA
UGUGUGUGUGUGUGUGUGUGUGUGUGAUUGAGAGUGAGAGAGAAAGAGAGAGAGAGAGAGCGACCUUAGUGUUAUGUCCAGCUUGUUGAACAAAUUUUCUGUAUUGCCCACAUUGCAUGGCUGCUUGUCAGGUAGUGGAAGGUGGUCUCCCAUUUACUCAAAUAUCGGCAUAAUGUCCUCGGUUUUGGUUGGUGAUUAAUUCGGUGAUUUUGGCCGUCGGCGGCCUGAUCUAUCAUCGCACAUCACACUCAUCUACUCUACACUCGAAGUUCACUUCCCGCUACUUUUUCCGUCUUCAUCCCGCCGAGAAGGGUAUUCCUGCACAACCGGAGGCUGCAGUUUCAGGACCACGGUUCUAGGACCGCAGUUCUAGGACCCUAGUUUUUUUGUGACAGCGCCACCUACCGUACUGGAUCAACACUAAUUAAAGAUGGACGACGUGGACAUCAAUCAGACGAGUUGAAGCCUACAGCCAUUCUAUCCAUGCAGCAACUAAUGGAAAAGGGGUUCGCUU